CGGGGUGUAGCUCAGCCUGGCAGAGCGCUACGUUCGGGACGUAGAGGCCACAGGUUCAAAUCCUGUCACCCCGACCA
rnacentral:tRNA from 2 species